ACAUGCAAGUCUACUGAAAUAUAACUUCGGUUAUUAAGACGGUGGCGGACGGGUGAGUAACGCGUGAAGAACUUGCCCUUAGGACUGGGACAACAGUUGGAAACGACUGCUAAAACCAGAUAAGCUCCCACUACCGCAUGGUAGAGAGAGAAAACACUAAAUGUGCCUAAGGAGAGCUUCGCGUCCUAUUAGCUAGUUGGUGUGGUAAAGGCGCACCAAGGCGACGAUAGGUAGCCGGCCUUAACGGGUGAUCGGCCACAAGGGAACUGAGACACGGUCCUUACUCC
rnacentral:rRNA from 1 species